rnacentral:rRNA from 1 species
GAGGGUGCAAGCGUUGUUCGGAAUUACUGGGCGUAAAGCGCGCGCAGGCGGAUCCUGCAAGUCAGAAGUGAAAUCUCACUGCUCAACGGUGAGGCUGCUUUUGAUACUGCGGAUCUGGAGACCGGUAGAGGCUGGUAGAAUUGCAGGUGUAGCGGUGGAAUGCGUAGAGAUCUGCAAGAAUACCCGUGGCGAAGGCGGCCAGCUGGGCCGGUUCUGACGCUGAGGCGCGAAAGCGUGGGGAGCAAACAGGAUUAGAUACCCUGGUAGUCCACGCCGUAAACGAUGGGCACUAGGUGCUGGGGGGAGCGACCCCGUCAGUGCCGCAGCUAACGCGAUAAGUGCCCCGCCUGGGGAGUACGGCCGCAAGGCUG